UACAGAGGGUGCAAACGUUGUUCGGAUUUACUGGGCGUAAAGCGUGUGUAGGCGGCUUGGCAAGUUGGAUGUGAAAGCCCACGGCUCAACCGUGGAAGCGCAUCCAAAACUGCUUCGCUCGAGUCUCGGAGAGGAAGGUGGAAUGCUUGGUGUAGAGGUGAAAUUCGUAGAUAUCAAGCAGAACACCUGCGGCGAAGGCGGCCUUCUGGACGAUGACUGACGCUGAGACGCGAAAGCGUGGGGAGCAAACAGG
rnacentral:rRNA from 1 species